AACUAAGAUCUCGUCUGGACCAAAAUUUCUGCAUUGUUUUGAGUCUGUCUUAUUUUAAUACAUGUAAGGCAGCACUAGGUUUGAACCCUAAUCUUAAAAUUUGCCGGCUUAGUUUAUAAUUAUCUUUUUGUUUGAUUUCUUA